rnacentral:miRNA from 1 species
UGGGAUGGUGGAGAGGGUGACCAG